rnacentral:misc_RNA from 1 species
CCGAGUGAGGGUCCUUGUGGCCCGACCUCUCCACCCUUUGCUGUGACCGUGACCGUCCGUCUGUCGCCUCGGGGGACCCCGACGUUCGCGUCGGCCCCCCGGCGUGCCAACCAACCUCUGCAUCUUCAGUCGUCUGAGUCAUAUUGCAAAAUAAAGCA